CCCUCCCUCCAGACGGCGGCGUCCCGGGGGAGGGCGAGCGCCGAGGUUCCCGAGUGGCUACGGCCGGGUCCCAGUCCUGCGGGGGCCAAAGGGAAGCCCGGCGGGCGGGGGGCCGGGACCCUGACACUCCCCUGCGGACUGACCCGGUAGACGAAAAGGUAACAGCCGCCCAGGCACCCGCCCGCCCUGGCCAGGGCCGCUUCUGCCAUGCGGGCUCCCCUUGGCGUGUUGGUUCCGAAAUUCGGCCGGAGCGCGUGGCUCCUUCGCCGGGACCCGGGGGGAAGCGGCCACUGCGGCGAAGCCCGCCGCCUGCUCGACGUGCUGGCACCCCCUGACGCGAGAAUCGCUGCCUUCUCUCUGCGGGGGAACGUGCCUACUCGCCACGGACCCUUCCCACCCUCUUGAGUCAGCUGUGACUAAGAGGUGCACAGCCUACGAAUUCACCUGUUCUGCACAUUAGUUAAUGCUCAUCAAGCUGCACAGAAUGGAACUUCUUUUUUUCAUGGACUCCUGAUAGUGACGCCAUGCCCCUGGACCUCAUCAUCCAUCUGCUGCCAUCUGUUGGAGUAACGGGCUGUAGGUGGAGCUCUAAGGAAAAAAGCAAAUUCACUGGAAUUUUAGAAUUCGGGACUUGAGAGGACUUGGAUUUUGUGAGCCCCAGAAUUUCACUGAUGCGAUUGUCUCAGCAUUCGUAAGCUAAUUUUGUUUUUCUUUAUUCAGAUGACCACAUAUUUAGCAGUCGUUUAGGUGCUAGAGUGCCUGCCAGGCCGCUUGUGGGGUGUCCUGUGACCCUGAGGAGCAAAGUGGGCAAGGACAGAGGGGGUGGGGCUGGGGGCUGGCCCCGGAGGUGCUUCCGUGCAGUUUCACGGAUGGAAAGGCCUCAUGGAGGUGGAGUUCAAGAUGUUGUACUUUGUGCUUCUGAGGGAAGAAGGAAAGGAGGGGGGUUUGGGGCCUGGGGAACAAGGCAUGCUGCUUCCUUACUCUCCUGGCUUAGGGAAGGCAGCCACCUUCCUGGUGAAGGAAAGGGGAGUGUUUACAGCAGCACUUGGUGGAUCCAGGCCAGAUAGCAGGGGUGUGUGUGUGUGUGUGUGUGUGUGUGUAUGUGUGGUCUCCCCCCCAUCCCCUCUCCUACACAUUUGGGUGCCACAUAAUCAUCACAAUCAUGAUUAACAUAACAGUAGCUAGCCUAAUCGAGGGCUUUCUGCAGGUCAGAUAAUAUGAAAAAUGCUUUACCCCUGAACCCAUUUGACCCUUACGCUAAUAACUCUUGGCAGUAAGUACUACUAUGAUUUCUAUUUUAAAAGAUGAAGUAAUGGAGGAGUAGAGUUUUCAAAGGACUGACAAGUGAUACAGCCAGAUUUAUGCUCAGGUCCGUCUGGUGGUGGCACCCAUGGGCUUCACCGCCAUACCACACUGCCCAGAGCAGAGGGUGAGGAGUCCCGCUAAGAAGCGGCAGGGCCGCCCCAGCACUGUGGGCAGGGAAGUCAGCGUUGCACCUGCGAAACCAGCCUGGGGAAGCGUCCCCUAGGAGCCAAGAGAUGCCGUCUACAAGCUGCUACUGUCUGCAUUUCACCCACGGUGGGAGGGAAAGGUGUCGUGACUGGGGUAACCAGAAGCGAAGAUCUACAUAUGAUUGUGGCAGAAGCAGGGAGCAUGUUGACGUCUGGGUCAGGAAAAAUCUAAGGGUCACCCAGGGCCCCUGUUGGAGACCAAAGAGUUUAACAUGCUUGAAAGCCCUUUGAGUUUCAUCAGCUAGGAAGCUCGCAUAUGCAUGUUAUUUAUUAGCAUUAUUCAGAAGGGUUCAUUGGAGCAGGCACCCUGCCUUCUUGCUGUGUCACACUUCGGUCACUCUCCGGAGACGUAGCUGCACUCUGGUGGAGGCUCAGAUGACCAGGCUUCACUCUCCUGGUGGGCCUCCUCACGUCCCAUGGCAGCUCUGUCCUGUUGGUCAUCACCACACUGGCCUCACCCACCCACUAGCAGAAAGCCAUAUAGCUUAAAAGCAGGUCAAUUGAUUUUUAAGUUUCAUUAAUUUUUGGUUCUGUUACAGUAAUAUUCUGAUAGCUCAUUCAUGCUCAUGCCCUCCCCCUGCCCUGUAGCCCAGACAUUUAUAUGGGGGAUAAAGGCCCAGAGAAAGAGAAGAAGAGGACAUUUGUCAUACUCUUGCCAGUAAGAAGUUUGUAAUCUGAAAGGAGAGACCAGACACAAAAAAUGUACUGUCUAAUCAGUGCUCUGAUAAGGUGUGUAAAGUCCCAAAAUGUGUAGCACAGACAAUGGGAAUGUGAGGGUAGAUAACAAGGCACAUAAUGUGUCUAAAUGCACCAUAUUCGGAAGUCAGCAUCGGGAAGACCACGGUGAAAAGGC